rnacentral:rRNA from 1 species
AUACGGAGGGUGCAAGCGUUACUCGGAAUCACUGGGCGUAAAGCGCGCGCAGGCGGCUUGAUAAGUUGGAUGUGAAAGCCUACGGCUCAACCGUAGAACUGCAUCCAAAACUGUCAGGCUGGAGUGUGGGAGAGGAAGAUGGAAUUAGUUGUGUAGGGGUAAAAUCCGUAGAGAUAACUAGGAAUACCAAAAGCGAAGGCAAUCUUCUGGAACACUACUGACGCUGAGGCGCGAAGGCGUGGGGAGCAAACAGGAUUAGAAACCCCGGUAGUCC